rnacentral:rRNA from 1 species
AGUGAACGCUGGCGGCAGGCCUAACACAUGCAAGUCGAACGGCAGCACAGUAAGAGCUUGCUCUUACGGGUGGCGAGUGGCGGACGGGUGAGGAAUACAUCGGAAUCUACUUUUUCGUGGGGGAUAACGUAGGGAAACUUACGCUAAUACCGCAUACGACCUACGGGUGAAAGCAGGGGAUCUUCGGACCUUGCGCGAUUGAAUGAGCCGAUGUCGGAUUAGCUAGUUGGCGGGGUAAAGGCCCACCAAGGCGACGAUCCGUAGCUGGUCUGAGAGGAUGAUCGCCCACACGGGAACUGAACCACGGACCAUGCGACUAGGGGAGGCAGCAGUGGGGAAUCGGGGGCAGUGGUGGAAAGCCUGGCCCAGCAAGGCGGCGUGUGUGAAGAAGGUCUCCGGAUCGUAAAGCCCUCUUAGUGGGGAGGAACAGCUGUCAGAUGAUCCCUGGCUGUAUUGACGGUACAGAGUCAAGAAGCACCGGCUAACUUCGUG